AUUGAACGCUGGCGGCAGGCCUAACACAUGCAAGUCGAGCGGAUGAGAGGAGCUUGCUCCUCGAUUCAGCGGCGGACGGGUGAGUAAUGCCUAAGAAUCUGCCCAGUAGUGGGGGACAACGUUUCGAAAGGAACGCUAAUACCGCAUACGUCCUACGGGAGAAAGUGGGGGAUCUUCGGACCUCACGCUAUUGGAUGAGCCUAGGUCGGAUUAGCUGGUUGGUAGGGUAAAGGCCUACCAAGGCGACGAUCCGUAACUGGUCUGAGAGGAUGAUCAGUCACAAUGGAACUGAGACACGGUCCAGACUCCUACGGGAGGCAGCAGUGGGGAAUAUUGGACAAUGGGCGCAAGCCUGAUCCAGCCAUGCCGCGUGUGUGAAGAAGGCCCUCGGGUCGUAAAGCACUUUAAGUUGGGAGGAAGGGCUUACAGCGAAUACCUGUGAGUUUUGACGUUACCGACAGAAUAAGCACCGGCUAACUUCGUGCCAGCCGCCGCCGCCG
rnacentral:rRNA from 1 species